ensembl:lncRNA
GUUGGAGAUCCCUGUCUAUCUUAGAUCUUCUGAAGCAGAAAAAUGCAUGCGGAUUGCCAGUGAGAGAAGAGUAAUUUAGUACGCUGGUGAAGGAAUAAAAGCAACACUGAUCUCAGAGGUGUGAACCAUGCUCACAGGAUGGUGGUUGUGCAGCAGGUCAAUGUAUUUUUGAAACCUCCUGCAGAAUAAUGUUGCAGGGAUAAAUUUCUUGCUUCAGUGAUGAAGAUAGAUUAGAAUGACUGUUCUUGGCCUAUUUUAUUAAAUGGUUUUCCUACGGUUUGCAUCAUCAACUGUUCUGCUAGAAGAAAAUUUGUGGCAUUUCCUUUCAGGUGUUUAUUAUUCCCAAAUGGAGGCAUGGUUCAGGGUUUAGGCUGGCUGCUGUCCUAACCUUUCUCUUCAAAGGUCUUGCAUGGCUUGUGCUUCUCACUGAAGGAGUGAGGGCAAGAGGGCUGCAGGUGCCCCAGGAGCAGAUGUCCCCAGCUGAGGUGUUGUGUGAAUCCUUCUUUGAGCUUUGAAAGCUCAAAGCUUUCAUUCUGAGGUAUUUAUUGUGAUAAGACUCUGACUUAUAAAGAUGGUGAGUGAUGGGUGUCGCCAUAUGGCAAGCAACAUCUCUUUGAGGACAUAUGAAAACAUUUCCUUUGAAACUGUUUCACUAUGGAAUAGAGUACUAAAGAAUGUUUAUUAGCAGAAGUUUUGGCCUAUGACCAAAAACUCCACCUUGGUAUGGGAGAGCUGGGGAAUUACACCAUUGUAUUCUGUGAAAAACAAUGCAGGUGGGCACCUCUCUGCUCCCUCUUGUCUGCCACUGAGGCCCACAAGAUAGGAAUAAAAGAAUUUCUGCUGAGAUCCCAAAGCCAGAAACAAAGUCUCCAUAGAGACCUGACUCAACCACUUUGGACAUAAGUUUGCACCAUUGUUGCCAUCAUCGUCAAGCAGACAACAGAUUCUGACAAUUCAUCACUACUGAAGAUCAACGUCUGAACUAUGGGCAAUGCUUGAAUCUGUGGUGUUGACGGUCUCUCUCUCUUGCAUCCUACAAAGACUCUUUGCUUUUAUUUACUACCUUUUCUAUCACCUGCCUCCCCUUCCCUGUCUCUCUUAGUGAUUAGACUUAUAAUAAACAGUCUGGGCUUACAUAUGACCCAUUGUGUAUUGAUGUUGGUAAUAAAUAUAUUAAAAGAACCUCAUCUCCUUCCUAUGAACUGUGCUGGCACAAGUGUGACUGUUUCUUAAAUAUGCACUUCUAGCCAGAUUUCUUAUGGACCCCAAACAUCAAAGUCAUCAUGAAGUGCCACUAGUCACAGAGUAAUAGAAUAAUUAUGGUUAGAAUAGACAUCCCUUAUCAAGUCUGACAUUC